GGGUCCAAUUCGAAGCAACGCGAAGACCCUUACCAGGUCUUGACAUCCUCUGACAACCCUAGAGAUAGGGCUUCCCCUUCGGGGGCAGAGUGACAGGUGGUGCAUGGUUGUCGUCAGCUCGUGUCGUGAGAUGUUGGGUUAAGUCCCGCAACGAGCGCAACCCUUGAUCUUAGUUGCCAUCAUUAAGUUGGGCACUCUAAGGUGACUGCCGGUGACAAACCGGAGGAAGGUGGGGAUGACGUCAAAUCAUCAUGCCCCUUAUGACCUGGGCUACACACGUGCUACAAUGGACGGUACAAAGAGCUGCAAGACCGCGAGGUGGAGCUAAUCUCAUAAAACCGUUCUCAGUUCGGAUUGUAGGCUGCAACUCGCCUACAUGAAGCUGGAAUCGCUAGUAAUCGCGGAUCAGCAUGCCGCGGUGAAUACGUUCCCGGGCCUUGUACACACCGCCCGUCACACCACGAGAGUUUGUAACACCCGAAGUCGGUGGGGUAACCUUUUGGAGCCAGCCGCCUAAAGGUGGACAGAGGG
rnacentral:rRNA from 1 species